rnacentral:rRNA from 1 species
UACAGAGGGGGCAAGCGUUGUUCGGAAUUACUGGGCGUAAAGGGCGCGUAGGCGGCCCGCUAAGUCGAACGUGAAAUCCCCGAGCUCAACUCGGGAACUGCGUCCGAUACUGGCGGGCUUGAAUCCGGGAGAGGGAUGCGGAAUUCCAGGUGUAGCGGUGAAAUGCGUAGAUAUCUGGAGGAACACCGGUGGCGAAGGCGGCUCACUGGUCCGGUACUGACGCUGAGGUGCGAAAGCGUGGGGAGCAAACAGG